rnacentral:lncRNA from 1 species
UCACAACCGUUUUUUUGGGUGACAUAGUCAAUAUAAAAAGUAGUUAUUUUUGCUAAAAUGAUGUUAUUUAAUUAGAUGCAUGACAGUGCAUCAAAAUUAAAUUUUUACAUACAUAUAUAUUGGUAAAUAAUGAAUUUUUCAUUUAAAUUAAAAAAAGGUUAAUAUUGAUAUGGUGCCAUGCCAUUAUUGACGGAGCAUGUUUUGUCUUCUUUGGACUUGGGAGGAUUUCAAGGGUGCAUCUUCAUUUCACUAAUUGGACUGCUUCCCAUUGCUUUACAAGGUGUAAGAUUCGCCAGUGGGACUCUGCCUCAUCUGCACUUUGCAGCAAUUAUUAUUUGCAUAAAAAUAAUGAUUGCUUCAACAAUUUUGUGUUGAAAUAUUGGCAUCAUAAUUUUGGUUAUUAACCUUGGAUGGCAAUUGAGCAUUGAUCUUACGGGUCCUAAAAUACAGGAUAGAUGAUGAUCUUGGUAUUUAUAAUUUGAACCCAAUAUUGAUUUCAUUAAUAUGGGCUUUUCUUUUGUUGUUUUUUUAAUUAUGUCACAACUUUAGCUACUAAUCUUUUGUAAGGAUUGAAAUUAUGUGCCUUAUAAUACAAGAAUGUAUUCAUAAUUUCAGCCCAAAUGUUAGAUUUAAUUAUGAUCGCCUUUUCUUUUGGUUUUUAAGUUAAGACACAGAGAUAUCACAAUUUUAGCUCUUGAUCUCGUUAAGGGGUUGAACUUAAUGGGCCUUAUAGGAUCUCAAUCCCCAAAUUUUGUUCGAGUAUAUAAUUGGUUUUUGUGUCUGGCCUUCCUUUUUGUUGUAUUUUGGUAUAUAGAAUUUAGGUUUAAAAUUUUUGUUCAAGCAUAGAUGCCACAAAAUUAGCAAUUGACAAAGAUCGAACCUGUGAGUCCCACUGUGCAAGCUUAAACUAUAAUUAUUAUUUCCGUACUCGACCCUAGCCAAGAUAUAAUAGCAUAUAAUUGUAAGAAUAGAAUCAGUUAUCAAAUCGAGCUCUAUUGAGUAGUCCAGUCCACUUUCACUCUAUACACAAUAGAAAUUACUUCUCAAGAAUUUUCUAGAGAAAAUUUUCUCUCCGUAUAGCCACCGUUCUUCAUCGCUCGUCUUACAUUGAACUCAAGCCAUGAGGGGCGGAUACGCCCGAGGAGGUCAUUCACGGUCUCACACACCAGACUUUCCGACCAGAAGAAAACAGGACCAAUCUAUUAGGAUUGGCAAGAAAGUGAGAACUGAAGAGGAAGGAUGAGCUUUCACUGGAACUGAAAACCCAUCUCUAAUCCCAAAGGAGGAGAAAUGGAUGAAGGAAAGUGUAGAUGUGGAAGAGGAGCAUACUGCUCUUAAGAGAUCCUUUAGUGACACCGUUCGAAAGGGAAGAACGCCAGUUAUAAUGGAGGAAGGAGCUGCUGAAAAAGAAAAAGAGGAAUGUGCCAAGCACAUGGAUGAGGUUCUGGGAGAUGCCAUCAAAGAAGUAGAGGGAGAACAAAAGAAGGGUGAAGGGAGUAAGAAAAAGGGUAGACCAGAAAUACGUGUGGAGAAAGUUGGAGGUAUCUUCAAUUUCUCAAUCAAUGAAGCAGCUAUGGAUAAGCUGAGAAGUCCAUGGUGGGAUACCUUAAUUGUAAAACUUCUUGGCAGACGCAUCUCCUUGAUGGCUUUAACUAGGAGACUAGAAGCUAUGUGGGGUAAAAUGGGAAGCAUUGAGGUGAUUGACUUAGGAAACGAGUUCUUUAUUGUGAAGUUUUAUUCACAAGAGGAUCUGGAUUUUGCUCUCACUGAAGGACCAUGGAAAAUAAUGGAUCACUACCUAUCUAUUCGGUUCUGGAGACCAGAUUUCAAUCCCCUGGAGGCAUCCAUUGAUCAGAUUGCAGCAUGGGUGAGACUCCCAGGACUAGCCAUUGAAUACUAUGAUGAAGAGAUGCUGAAAAGAAUAGGCAAUGUCAUAGGAAGGACUCAGAGUUGAUUAAGCAGAGGUAAAUUUGCUAGAUUAUGUGUGGAAUUGAAUUUAACAGAACCUCUUGUAGCUCAAUAUUCAAUCAAUGGAGUUAAAUAUAAGGUAGAGUACGAGGGAUUACACAAUAUUUGCUUUGAUUGUGGUAUGGUGGGGCAUGAAAAAAGUAACUGCCCAAAGAAGAGUGAAGAGGAAACCAGCAUUGCGGUGGUGGUAGAAGGGUCCAGCGGUGUUGAGGGACAGACAGUUAGCAGAACAGAUACAGGAGAAGAAAGAGAGGGUAAUUCUGGAAAAGAAAAUUUUGAAAGGGGAAAAAAAGUCUUGAAUGAGGAGAAUGAAGAGUAUGGACCUUGGAUGGUUGUCCAAAGGCCACGUGGCAAAAAGGGAGCAAAAAAGGAUAGUACAAGUAGUGGAGGUAUGGAGAAUGGCCCAAAGGAAAAUGCUGCUACAACAGGUACGAAAUUUGCUAUUUUACAAGAAAAGGAUGCUGACACAACAAUUGAGGAUCCCAACAGUAAUCAGAACAUUCCAAACAAUCAUGAACCUAAUACAGAUGCUCUUAAUGGAGCCCCGAAAAAUAAACCUUCCCAAUCCGUUAAAUCAAAUCGGAAUCAGUCUACCAAGACCCAAGAAAAUAACCCAAUUAGAAAUCAACAUGCCACCACAACAAGCCAAAACAAAGAAAAGGUCGUUAAGCCUGGAUCAACCAUUGGCCCCAAUAGAAUCCCAUCUAACCAUAACAAGCAAUUUACUACCCAAACCCAACUAGAAAAUCAGCUUCAAGACACCGUCUCUAAUCACCCACAAAAUUGGACAACUACUAUGCACCAUUCUCAAGAAGAGUCCCAACAGGGAACGUAUAUUCAAACAACCCCCCUAGAAGACUUUGAAAUGCAUGAACCAACUGAACCAGAACCACCGGACAUUAAUUCUAUUAGUGAGGAAGUCAUGAUUGAAGCUGUAAGGAUACACGAAGAGAGCAUUCUCAACCAACAACAUAAUGAAACAUUCACACAUGAGGAGGAAAACCUAGACAUGGAAGAAGAAACCUUUGAUAUAAAGGCUGGCCAAGGCAACAGAGACACCCUGAUGGGAGAGAACGAUCAAACCUCACAGUGAGGUCUUCUUAUCAUCUUUUUUCUUAUGAUUAUCCUUUCGUGGAAUUGUAGGGGGGCGGCAAGUAGAGGCUUUUGUCGCACCCUGAAGGAAAUUGUUAAACAGAAUAAGCCAGAUGUUGUGAUCCUUAUGGAGACCAGAUGUAGUGGAGAAACUGCCCAAAGGGUUAUCAGAAAUUUUGGGCUGCCUUUUUGUCACGUAGAAGAAGCUAAUGGAUUUAGUGGAGGAAUAUGGGUGCUUUGGCGAGACCCUGAUCUUAGAAUUACUAUUUUGAAAUCUAGAACACAGUAUGUACAUAUGGAAGUCAAGUUUAAUAAUAAAAGAAGUUGGAUUUUAACAGCCAUUUAUGCUAGUCCCCAAGAAAAUGUGCGAAGAUGUCUUUGGGAAGAGCUUUAUACUAUAGCUCAAGAUAUGAGGGAGGCAUGGCUCAUGGUGGGAGAUUUUAAUGAAAUUGCUAAUGCUUUAGAAAAGAAAGGAGGAGCUAGGGUGGAUCUGAAUGCUUGCAGGAAAUUUGAUUCUUGGAUACAUAGAUGUGGACUAAUUGAUCUUGGAUUUGCGGGAUCUAAAUACACGUGGCGUGGACCACAAUGGGAGGGGCUAGAAAGGGUUUUCAAAUAGACAGAGCCUUGGCUAAUGCAGAUUGGAGAGUUAGAUUUGCUGAGGCAAAGGUUGAAGUUCUCCCUAGAUCUAAUUCAGACCACCACCCAAUCAAGGUAACUCUCGAACCCCAACAUCCUUUAAGUAGAGAAAGACCUUUUCGUUUUGAAGCGAUGUGGCUAUUACAUCCAGAUUUCAAGAACUGUGUUAAUCAGAAUUGGAGAAAGCACCAGCCACUAUACCAAUCCCUUUCUGAAUUAAAGAAGGGUAUGAUAACCUGGAACAAAGAAAUAUUUGGCAAAGUCCAAGAGAAAAAGAAAGAAAUUAUGAGGAGGCUAGGGGGAAUUCAAAAAUCCCAUGACUAUGGGAAAAACCGUUUCCUUGAUGAGUUGGAAAGGAGUUUGAAAAGAGAGUUGGAUGAAGUUCUUGAUAAAGAAGAGGUACUCUGGAUGCAAAAAUCAAGAGACACUUGGAUUGUAGACGGUGAUCGAAACACGAGGUAUUUUCACACUAAGACUAUCAUAAGGCGGAGAAAAAACAAGAUCCUAAAACUGAGGGAUCCCAAUGGAGAAUGGAGAGAGAAUGAGGAAGAAUUGGUCAAUCUAGUGGUGGGAUUUUACAAAAAUCACUACACAGAAGAGGGUGAGGGACAAGCAACACAAGGGAUCCGAGGUAUCUAUCCAGAUACGGACUUCAACCAGAAAAGACGAAUGGGUGCGAAACCUAACAAAGAAGAGAUUAGAAAGGCAAUCUUCUCCAUAGGAUCUCUAAAAGCUCCAGGUAUUGAUGGUUUUACAGCCUUAUUUUAUAAGGAGAAUUGGCAGCUUGUAGAAGAAAGUGUCUAUGAAUUCGUGAGUAGAGUAUGGGAUGAUCCCAGUCAAAUCGAACAAUACAACCAAACUCUAAUUUCUCUCAUUCCAAAGAUCAAAGACCCUGAUUUUAUAACCCAGUUCAGGCCCAUUGCUCUCUGUAAUGUCAGUUAUAAGGGCAUAACAAAGAUUUUAGUUGAAAGGCUAAAAUCUAUUCUCACAGAGAAGAUUUCUCCUCACCAGUCUAGCUUUAUACCUGGGAGAAAAAUUCAAGACAAUAUUUUGAUUGCCAAAGAGAUUGCUCACAGGAUGAACAAAAUGAAAGGAAAGAAAGGAAUUAUGGCGAUUAAGUUCGACUUUGAAAAAGCCUAUGAUAGACUAAGAUGGAGCUACUUAAAAGAAUGCUUGGAAGACCUCAGAUUGCCUAUAAAUUUGAUAAGUUUGAUUAUGGCUUGUGUAACAACAGUGUCCUACAACAUUUUAUGGAAUGGUGGCAUGACAGAAAAUUUCUAUCCUUCUCGAGGUAUUAGACAAGGGGAUCCUAUCUCUCCUUAUCUUUUUGUUAUAGCCAUGGACAGAUUGUCACAAAUCAUUGAAAAUGAAGUAAGAGAACAAAGAUGGAGGCCUUUUAGACUGGUAAAGCAUCAGGGACUUACUAUUUCACACCUUUUAUUUGCGGAUGAUUUGCUGGUUUUUGCAGAAGCUGACCUGGACCAAAUCACCCAAGUGUGCAAAGUCAUGGAACUAUUCUACAAAAUUUCUGGCCUAAAGAUCAAUGAAGCCAAAACAGCCAUUGUCUUCUCUAAGAAUGUAACACAAAGUGAGAGAAGAGCUAUAGUGGACAGAAGCAAAUACCAAGAGAAACCUCAACUAGGAAAGUACCUAGGGGCUGUUAUAAACAACCAGAGGAAUGGGAAAGAAAAAUUUAAGGAUGUCAUCUCUAGGGUGCAAAACAAACUCAAUGGAUGGAAAGCCCAAUGUCUAACGUUAGCGGGAAGGGUAACUCUAGCAAGGUCAGCCAUUUCACCUAUGGCAAAUUAUGAAAUGCAGCACUCGAGGGUCCCAAAAGGAAUAUGUAGUGAAAUUCAUAAGCUUCAACGAAAAUUUAUAUGGGGAGAGAAAGAGGGACAAAGGAAGCUGCACCACAUCAAGUGGGAGACUUUAUGCCUGCCCAAGAAGUAGGGAGGACUUGGGUUUAAAGACCUCAACAUUAUGAAUGAUGCUUUUCUUUUGAAAAUCAUAUGGAGAUUAAUAAAUGAGAAAGAAGCUCUAUGUGUACAAUUUUUCCAACAGUCGUAUGGCAGAAGAAUGAGUCUAAAUGAGGAGAUGCGAACUAGAAAGACAGACUUGCCAUUGUGGAAAGAACUCACUAAAUUAUGGCAAGUAAUGCUGGAGAAUACCUCGUGGGUGAUAGGUAAUGGAGAAAGAGUGCGUUUUUGGAAGGAUAAUUGAGUAAAGGAAGUAGGAGUGUUGAACAAAAUAGUCACUAGAACUAUACCAGAAGAUGUAUUGGAAGCACCGAUUGCGCAUUAUGUAGAUAAAAAUGGAGACUGGAAACUUGAGGCUAUCAGGGAUACCCUCCCACACCAAAUUCUGGAUAGAAUCAGAGCAAUUCCAAGGCCUAAGAAAGAGAUGGGUGAUGAUUCAGUUUGCUGGAAUCAUAGCUCGAACGGAAUUUUUUCGGUUUCUACAGCGUAUAAGAUUCUGGCAAACAUCUCAGACGAGAAAAAAGAGAUUUGGGAAAAACUCUGGAGAUGGAAGGGACAAGAAAGGAUUAAAUUAUUUGGCUGGCAACUCGUUCAUAACAGGCUGUUCACAGCUAGUAGAAGAGCUAGAGUGUUGGGGACGGCAAAUAACUGUCACAUAUGCCAAGAUCAAGAAGAAACCACCCUCCAUGCACUAAGAGAUUGUCCUAAAGCUAUGAGCGUUUGGAUGCAGACGCUUAACCCAGGGGUAAUAACCCGCUUCUUUGGGUCUCAGUUCCAAGAGUGGCUAGAAUUGAAUAGCCACAAUAAUAUGGGUAAAUCUAACACCACAAAUUGGUUUGAGGAGUUUUUAAUAACCUGUUGGUGGAUAUGGAAGUGGAGGUGCACGGAGCUUUUUUCCCCUACAGUUUCGAGACCCUUGAACCCUACCCAGUUUAUAGCAGAAUUUAGUAGAAAUUUAAGAGAAGCUUUCAAAAAAAGAAAUAUAUGCAGGCCAAAUAAAACUACUACGAUCAUUCAAAUUAAAUGGAUGCCACCCCCACAAGGAUGGGUCAAACUCAAUACAGAUGGAGCCACAAACUUAAAUAACCAAAGAGCAGGUUGUGGAGGGGUCUUGAGGACUCACCUUGGAGAAUGGAUAGGAGGCUUUCUGGCCAAUGUCGGAACUUGCAGUGCAGAUCAAGCAGAACGAUGGGGAAUUUUUCAUGGUCUUACCAUGGCUUGGCAAAUGGGUAUGAGACGAGUUAUUGUCGAGACUGACCGAGAAGAAAGUGUUUCAGAGUUGGUGAAUGAAGGAAGAUCCUGCAGAGAAUAUAAUGCAAUAAUUAGAGAAAUUAAAGAAUUGAUAGGAAGACCAUGGGAAAUAAAGAUUCAGCAUGCUUAUAGAGAAUCGAAUCGAUGUGCUCAUAUCUUAGCUAAGCAAAGUCUUAAUGAACGGCAAGGUUUUCAAUUCCUAGAUCUCCCGCCUGAAUAUAUA